UCCCAGGUGGUCCAGUGGUUAGGACUCUGCUCCUCCAAUGCAGGGGGCACGGGUUCCAUCCUUGGUCAGGGAA
rfam:Ovis aries breed Texel chromosome 3, whole genome shotgun sequence.